rnacentral:rRNA from 1 species
AGAUUGAACGCUAGCGGGAUGCUUUACACAUGCAAGUCGAACGGCAGCGCGGACUUCGGUCUGGCGGCGAGUGGCGAACGGGUGAGUAACAUAUCGGAACGUGCCCAGUAGCGGGGGAUAACUACGCGAAAGCGUGGCUAAUACCGCAUACGCCCGUACGGGGGAAAGGGGGGAUUCUUCGGAACCUCUCACUAUUGGAGCGGCCGAUAUCAGAUUAGCUAGUUGGUGAGGUAAAGGCUCACCAAGGCGACGAUCUGUAGCUGGUUUGAGAGGACGACCAGCCACACUGGGACUGAGACACGGCCCAGACUCCUACGGGAGGCAGCAGGUGGGAAUUUUGGACAAGUGGGGGAAACCUGACUCCAGCCAUCCCGCGU